rnacentral:lncRNA from 1 species
CUGACUUAGCAAACUGGUGUCCAGGUCUUACAGAGAGGUGCUUUCUCCUCUUCCCUCUUUUAGCUAGUCCUCAAUCUGGUCUGGUGCCCAAGCCCUGCCUCUGGAGUCGAGUCUCACCUUCUACCUCAAUUCCAUACGAUGCUGGUCUGUUGAGGAGCAGUAGUAACAUGCCUUUACCUUGGAGGAAUGGACCACCAAUAAUCCCUGUACAGGUCUUCAAACAAAAAAUUUAUAAGAUUGAAAUAAUCCAUCCUUUGAAUAUUCUACAGAACUUGCCUGAAACCAUUGGUCCCUAGUUUUUUCAAGGGCUAUUUUACUAGUCAGCUCACACUUGGAAUAGUUAUAUAUUCCUGGUGAAUUGAAAUUAUUAUAAUUAUACACUUGAAGACCUUUGCCAAAUACCAAACCGAGACCCCUGCCAUCAUUCAACACAAUUGCACAGACGCUAAUCUCUUCAUGGGAAGGCAUGCAUGCCCCACUGCAUCCCUGCAAGUGCAGAACCAGUCUUCAGCAGCGACGCUUAGCGGCUGAAGUGUGAUACAGUUCUGCCGUCCUUUGAACAGUGCAAUUCCUCAGAGUUCCUGGACAAUUCAGAAUCGGUGAACCUCAAAAGUGAAAUACUACAAUUCCUAAAAAUACAUGUAAAUGGGAUCUCAAUUGAUCUAUUGAAAAAUUAAAAUUCAUUUAUUAUUGUACCCUAAGCUGGGAAAACAGACUGUUUCCUGUACAGUGUACACAUGAUUGCACUCUUGCUGGAUUUUCAUAAUGGCUUCUUUUUUUUUUUUUUCUUGAGACAGAGUCUUGCUCUGUUGCCCAGGCUGGAGUGCAGUAGUGUGAUGUCGGCUCACUGCAACCUCUGCCUCCGGGGUUCAAGCGGUUCUUCUGCCUCAGCCUCCCAAGUAGCUGGACUUCAGGCGCACGCCAUCACACCCGGCUAAUUUUUGUGGGGUUUUUUGUUUGUUUGUUUGUUUGUUUUUUAGAUGGAGUCUCACUCUGUCACCCAGGCUGGAAUGCAGUGGCGUGAUCUCAGCUCACUGCAAGCUCCGCCUCCCGGGUUCAUGCCAUUCUCCUGCCUCAGCCUCCCGAGUAGCUGGGACUAUAGGCACCCACCACCACGCUUGGUUAAUUUUUUGUAUUUUUAGCAGAGACAGGUUUCACCAUAUUGGCCAGGCUGGUCUCAAACUCCUGACCUCAUGAUCCACCCAAGGUGCUGGGAUUACAGGUGUGAGCCACCACGCCCGGCCGAUAACUGCUUCUUAAUGACUUUCUUUGUUCCCUUUCAUUCUCUCUCUUUUCCAAUAUUUUCUCCAUAUUUGUAUAUAAAGUUAAUCUUCCUAAAAUAUCAACUUUGCCCAAAAAGUUUGCAACAGCUUAUUAUUGCCAACAAAACAGAAUCAGCUUCCUCAUCCUGUGAUUAGAUACUCUCCAUAAUCUGACUCCUAAAUCCUGAAGGGAGGUAAGAAAGAAU